rnacentral:rRNA from 1 species
AUUAUGGCUCAGGAUGAACGCUGGCGGCGUGCUUAACACAUGCAAGUCGAACGGAACUUUCUCCCGAAGAAGCGGAGUGCUUGCACAAAGUGGAUUCAUUUGAAAGUUAGUGGCGGACGGGUGAGUAACGCGUGGGUAACCUGCCGUAUGCCGGGGGACAACAGUUGGAAACGACUGCUAAUACCGCAUAAGCGCACAGUAUCGCAUGAUACAGUGUGAAAAACUCCGGUGGCAUACGAUGGACCCGCGUCUGAUUAGCUAGUUGGUGAGGUAGCGGCCCACCAAGGCGACGAUCAGUAGCCGGCCUGAGAGGGUGAACGGCCACAUUGGGACUGAGACACGGCCCAAACUCCUACGGGAGGCAGCAGUGGGGAAUAUUGCACAAUGGGGGAAACCCUGAUGCAAGCGACGCCGCGUGAGUGAAGAAGUAUUUCGGUAUGUAAAGCUCUAUCAGCAGGGAAGAAAAUGACGGUACCUGACUAAGAAGCCCCGGCUAACUACGUGCCAGCAGCGGC